rnacentral:rRNA from 1 species
GAUGAACGCUGGCGGCGUGCUUAACACAUGCAAGUCGAACGGAAAGGCUCCUGCUUGCAGGGGUACUCGAGUGGCGAACGGGUGAGUAACACGUGGGUGAUCUGCCCUGCACUUCGGGAUAAGCCUGGGAAACUGGGUCUAAUACCGGAUAGGACGAUGGUUUGGAUGCCAUUGUGGAAAGUUUUUUCGGUGUGGGAUGAGCUCGCGGCCUAUCAGCUUGUUGGUGGGGUACUGGCCUACCAAGGCGUCGACGGGUAGCCGGCCUGAGAGGGUGUACGGCCACAUUGGGACUGAGAUACGGCCCAGACUCCUACGGGAGGCAGCAGUGGGGAAUAUUGCACAAUGGGCGCAAGCCUGAUGCAGCGACGCCGCGUGGGGGAUGACGGCCUUCGGGUUGUAAACUCCUUUCGCUAGGGACGAAGCGCAAGUGAUGGUACCUGGAGAAGAAGCACCGGCUAACUACGUG